AUUGAACGCUGGCGGCAUGCCUUACACAUGCAAGUCGAACGGCAGCGACGGAGCAAUCCUGGUGGCGAGUGGCGAACGGGUGAGUAAUAUAUCGGAACGUGCCCAGUCGUGGGGGAUAACGUAGCGAAAGCUACGCUAAUACCGCAUACGAUCUAUGGAUGAAAGCGGGGGAUCGCAAGACCUCGCGCGAUUGGAGCAGCCGAUAUCAGAUUAGGUAGUUGGUGAGGUAAAGGCUCACCAAGCCGACGAUCUGUAGCUGGUCUGGGAGGACGACCAGCCACACUGGGACUGAGACACGGCCCAGACUCCUACGGGAGGCAGCAGUGGGGAAUUUUGGACAAUGGGCGCAAGCCUGAUCCAGCAAUGCCGCGUGCAGGAUGAAGGCCUUCGGGUUGUAAACUGCUUUUGUACGGAACGAAACGGUGAGCUCUAAUACAGUUUGCUAAUGACGGUACCGUAAGAAUAAGCACCGGCUAACUACGUG
rnacentral:rRNA from 1 species